UAGGGAAUCUUCGGCAAUGGACGGAAGUCUGACCGAGCAACGCCGCGUGAGUGAAGAAGGUUUUCGGAUCGUAAAGCUCUGUUGUUAGAGAAGAACGUUGGUAGGAGUGGGAAAUCUACCAAGUGACGGUAACUAACCAGAAAGGGACGGCUAACUACGUGCCAGCAGCCGCGGUAAUACGUAGGUCCCGAGCGUUGUCCGGAUUUAUUGGGCGUAAAGCGAGCGCAGGCGGUUCUUUAAGUCUGAAGUUAAAGGCAGUGGCUUAACCAUUGUACGCUUUGGAAACUGGAGGACUUGAGUGCAGAAGGGGAGAGUGGAAUUCCAUGUGUAGCGGUGAAAUGCGUAGAUAUAUGGAGGAACACCGGUGGCGAAAGCGGCUCUCUGGUCUGUAACUGACGCGGAGGCUCGAAAGCGUGGGGAGCAAACAGG
rnacentral:rRNA from 1 species